rnacentral:rRNA from 1 species
UACGUAGGUGACAAGCGUUGUCCGGAUUUACUGGGCGUAAAGAGCGCGCAGGCGGUCGUUCAAGUCGAGUGUGAAAGCCCUUGGCUCAACUGAGGAAGUGCAUCCGAAACUGGCAGGCUAGAGUACUAAAGAGGAUCGCGGAAUUCCCGGUGUAGAGGUGAAAUUCGUAGAUAUCGGGAGGAACACCGGUGGCGAAGGCGGCGAUCUGGGUAGAUACUGACGCUGAGGUGCGAAAGCGUGGGGAGCAAACAGG